UACGAAGGGGGCUAGCGUUGCUCGGAAUCACUGGGCGUAAAGGGUGCGUAGGCGGGUCUUUUAAGUCAGGGGUGAAAUCCUGGAGCUCAACUCCAGAACUGCCUUUGAUACUGAAGAUCUUGAGUUCGGGAGAGGUGAGUGGAACUGCGAGUGUAGAGGUGAAAUUCGUAGAUAUCGGGAGGAACACCAGUGGCGAAGGCGGCGACCUGGACGGACACUGACGCUGAGACGCGAAAGCGUGGGGAGCAAACAGG
rnacentral:rRNA from 1 species